GAGUUUGAUCAUGGCUCAGAACGAACGCUGGCGGCAUGCCUAACACAUGCAAGUCGAACGAAGGCUUCGGCCUUAGUGGCGCACGGGUGCGUAACGCGUGGGAACCUGCCCCUCGGUUCGGAAUAACUCAGGGAAACUUGAGCUAAUACCGGAUGAUGACUUCGGUCCAAAGAUUUAUCGCCGAGGGAUGGGCCCGCGUAGGAUUAGCUUGUUGGUGGGGUAAUGGCCUACCAAGGCGACGAUCCUUAGCUGGUCUGAGAGGAUGAUCAGCCACACUGGGACUGAGACACGGCCCAGACUCCUACGGGAGGCAGCAGUGGGGAAUAUUGGACAAUGGGCGAAAGCCUGAUCCAGCAAUGCCGCGUGAGUGAUGAAGGCCUUAGGGUUGUAAAGCUCUUUUACCCGGGAUGAUAAUGACAGUACCGGGAGAAUAAGCCCCGGCUAACUCCGUGCCAGCCGCCGCAGUAAC
rnacentral:rRNA from 1 species